AGUGGACCGUCUGAGGCCUAUGCGAAAGCUGGGCCUCACGGUCCAUAAUGUGGCAGGCACAGCGAGACGCUGGCUUCACAGAGCAGCGACAACUGCCCACU
rnacentral:SRP_RNA from 1 species